rnacentral:rRNA from 1 species
UACGUAGGUGGCAAGCGUUGUCCGGAUUUACUGGGCGUAAAGGAUGCGUAGGCGGACAUUUAAGUCAGAUGUGAAAUACCCGAGCUUAACUUGGGUGCUGCAUUUGAAACUGGGUGUCUAGAGUGCAGGAGAGGUAAGUGGAAUUCCUAGUGUAGCGGUGAAAUGCGUAGAGGAUUAGGAAGAACACCAGUAGGCGAAGG